AUUGAACGCUGGCGGCAUGCUUUACACAUGCAAGUCGAACGGCAGCGCGGGCUUCGGCCUGGCGGCGAGUGGCGAACGGGUGAGUAAUGAAUCGGAACGUGCCCAGUAGUGGGGGAUAGCACGGCGAAAGCCGGAGUAAUACCGCAUACGACAUGAGGGUGAAAGAGGGGGACCGAAAGGCCUCGCGCUAUUGGAGCGGCCGAUGUCGGAUUAGCUAGUUGGUGGGGUAAAGGCUUACCAAGGCGACGAUCCGUAGCUGGUCUGAGAGGACGACCAGCCACACUGGGACUGAGACACGGCCCAGACUCCUACGGGAGGCAGCAGUGGGGAAUUUUGGACAAUGGGGGCAACCCUGAUCCAGCCAUGCCGCGUGCGGGAAGAAGGCCUUCGGGUUGUAAACCGCUUUUGUUCGGGAAGAAAUCCUCUGGGCUAAUACCCCGGGGGGAUGACGGUACCGGAAGAAUAAGCACCGGCUAACUACGUG
rnacentral:rRNA from 1 species